rnacentral:rRNA from 1 species
UACGUAGGGCGCAAGCGUUGUCGGGAAUUAUUGGGCGUAAAGAGCUCGUAGGCGGUUUGUCGCGUCUGUCGUGAAAGCCCACGGCUUAACCGUGGGUCUGCGGUGGAUACGGGCAGACUAGAGGCAGGUAGGGGAGAAUGGAAUUCCCGGUGUAGCGGUGAAAUGCGCAGAUAUCGGGAGGAACACCGGUGGCGAAGGCAGAUCUCUGGGCCGUAACUGACGCUGAGGAGCGAAAGCAUGGGGAGCGAACAGG